GACGAACGCUGGCGGCGUGCCUAAUACAUGCAAGUCGAACGCAGUGGGGACGGGUGAGUAACACGUGGGUAACCUCCCAUCAGAGGGGAUAACACUUGGAAACAGGUGCUAAACCGAUACUGAUGGAUGGACCCGCGGUGCAUUAGCGCGUGGGUGAGGAAACGGCUCACCAAGGCCACGAUGAAUAGCCUACCUGAGAGGGUGAUCGGCCACACGGGUAUGGAGACACGGCCCAGACUCCUACGGGAGGCAGCAGUAGGGAAUCUUCGGCAAUGGACGAAAGUCUGACCGAGCAACGCCGCGUGAUUGAAGAAGGUUUUCGGAUCGUAAAGCUCUGUUGUUAGGGAAGCGGUCUCGAACCAGAAAGCCACGGCUAACUACGUGCCAGCAGCCGCGGUAAUAC
rnacentral:rRNA from 1 species